UACGUAGGGCGCAAGCGUUAUCCGGAAUUAUUGGGCGUAAAGGGCUCGUAGGCGGUUUGUCGCGUCGGAAGUGAAAACACGGGGCUUAACUCUGUGCUUGCUUUCGAUACGGGCAGACUAGAGGGAUGCAGGGGAGAACGGAAUUCCUGGUGUAGCGGUGAAAUGCGUAGAUAUCGGGAAGAACACCAGUGGCGAAGGCGCUCUACUGGGCCACAACUGACGCUGAGGGACGAAAGCUAGGGGAGCGAAAGGG
rnacentral:rRNA from 1 species